rnacentral:misc_RNA from 1 species
UUCUCGUUAUCAUAAAGACGUUCAUGACUUCAGGUUUGUAGGUCCAGAGACCACGGUGCACAGGUGUAUGUAAAAAAGUGCUCGCGCACAAUCUCUAAUGAUCCUUCCGCAGGUUCACCUACGGAAA